AAGAUCAGAUGGGGGGAGAGGCCCUUGCAACGGCCCUUAUGUGCCCCCACAGCCUUGUUAGGAACAGGAGGAGAACCUCAUCCUAACAUGAGUAAAGUCGAAGGUCCGAUUACUCAAAGAUCGGAUAGGAGGAGAGGUCCUUGCAACGGUCCUUAUGUGCCUCCACAGCCUUGUUAGGAACAGGAGGAGAACCUCAUCCUAACAUGAGCA
rnacentral:lncRNA from 1 species